CCCUUAGAUGUUCUGGGCCGCACGCGCGCUACACUGAUGCAUGCAACGAGUUCUAUCCUUGGCCGGAAGGCCUGGGUAAUCUGUGAACGUGCAUCGUGAUAGGGAUAGAUUAUUGCAAUUAUUAAUCUUGAACGAGGAAUUCCUAGUAAACGCAAGUCAUCAGCUUGCAUUGAUUACGUCCCUGCCCUUUGUACACACCGCCCGUCGCACCUACCGAUCGAAGGUAAUGAUGAGCCCUCAGGAUUGUGGCCUCGUCGCGUCAGCGCCUUGGCUGCGAGAAUCUGUGCAAAUCCCUACCUUUAGAGGAAGGUGAAGUCGUANCA
rnacentral:rRNA from 1 species